GAUGAACGCUGGCGGCGUGCCUAACACAUGCAAGUCGAGCGAACGGACGAGAAGCUUGCUUGUCUGAUGUUAGCGGCGGAGGGGUGAGUAACACGAGGAUAACCUACCUAUAAGACUGGGAUAACUUCGGGAAAGCGGAGCUAAUACCGGAUGAUAUUUUGAACCGCAUGGUUCAAAAGUGAAAGACGGUUUUGCUGUCACUUAUAGAUGGAUCCGCGCUGCAUUAGCUAGUUGGUAAGGUAACGGCUUACCAAGGCAACGAUGCAUAGCCGACCUGAGAGGAUGAUCGGCCACACUGGAGCUGAGACACGGUCCAGACUCCUACGGGAGGCAGCAGUAGGGAAUCUUCCGCAAUGGGCGAAAGCCUGACGGAGCAACGCCGCGUGAGUGAUGAAGGUCUUCGGAUCGUAAAACUCUGUUAUUAGGGAAGAACAUAUGUGUAAGUAACUGUGCACAUCUUGACGGUACCUAAACAGGAAGCCACGGCUAACUACGUG
rnacentral:rRNA from 1 species